CGCAAGCCUGACGGAGCAAGACCGCGUGCGGGAUGACGGCCUAAUGGUUGUAAACCGCUUUUCUCUGGGAAGAUGAUGACGGUACCAGAGGAAUCAGCCUCGGCUAACUCCGUGCCAGCAGCCGCGGUAAUACGGAGGAGGCAAGCGUUAUCCGGAAUUAUUGGGCGUAAAGCGUCCGUAGGUGGUUAUUCAAGUCUGCUGUCAAAGCGUGGGGCUUAACUCCAUAGAGGCAGUGGAAACUGAGUGACUAGAGUGCGGUAGGGGUCGAGGGAAUUCCCAGUGUAGCGGUGAAAUGCGUAGAUAUUGGGAAGAACACCAGUGGCGAAAGCGCUCGACUGGGCCUGCACUGACACUGAGGGACGAAAGCUAGGGGAGCG
rnacentral:rRNA from 1 species